rnacentral:rRNA from 1 species
UACGUAGGUCCCGAGCGUUGUCCGGAUUUAUUGGGCGUAAAGCGAGCGCAGGUGGUUUAUUAAGUCUGGUGUAAAAGGCAGUGGCUCAACCAUUGUAUGCAUUGGAAACUGGUAGACUUGAGUGCAGAAGGGGAGAGUGGAAUUCCAUGUGUAGCGGUGGAAUGCGUAGAUAUAUGGAGGAACACCGGUGGCGAAAGCGGCUCUCUGGUCUGUAACUGACGCUGAGGUUCGAAAGCGUGGGUAGCAAACAGG